rnacentral:rRNA from 1 species
CUAGUUGUACGCCUUUGGACUAUGGUAAAGGAGUAGCACACUGCUCAGUAACACGUAGCUAACCUACCCUUGGGAUGGUGAUAACCCCGGGAAACUGGGGUCAAUAACCAAUAGGUAUGGAUUCCUGGAAUGGUUCCAUAUUGAAAUGUAUGUACACCCAUGUCGUGUACAAUAUACCCGAGGAUGGGGCUGCGGUCGAUCAGGCUGUUGGUGAGGUAACGGCUCACCAAACCUUUGACCGAUACGGGCCAUGAGAGUGGUAGCCCGGAGAUGGGCACUGAGACAAGGGCCCAGGCCCUACGGGGCGCAGCAGGUACGAAACCUCCACAAUUCACGCAAGUGAGAUGGGGUUACCUCGAGUGCUAUCUGAAGAAGGUGGCUUUUCCAUGGUGUAAUGAGCCGUGGGAAUAAGGGGGGGGCAAGACUGGUGUCAGCCGCCGCGGUAACACCAGCCCCCCGAGUGGUGGGGAUGAUUAUUUGGCCUAAAGCGUCCGUAGCCAGCUCGGUAAAUCUCUCGUUAAAUCCAGCGUCCUAAGCGUUGGGCUGCGAGGGAAACUGCCGAACUAGAGGGUGGGAGAGGUCAGCGGUAUUCCUGGGGUAGGGGCGAAAUCCAUUGAUCCCAGGAGGACCACCAGUGGCGAAGGCUGCUGACUAGAACACGCCUGACGGUGAGGGACGAAAGCUGGGGUAGCGAAUCGGAUUAGAUACCCGAGUAGUCCCAGCCGUAAACGAUGCAGGCUAGGUGUU